CACGUGUGCACACCUGCACACUGCAGAUCAAUCCUCGCUCCGACAGAGCCUCAAAUUAAGCACAUAAAAAAAAACCUGACCAAAACCGUUGUGGCUUAGUUCUCAUAAAAUCCCUGUCAAUCCCUGAUCAGGUCUCUGCUGCAGCGUCGCUGACAUGACGCUCUAAUGUCACUAAUCUCUUAAAGGGGUAGUGAACUGAAUUUUCUGUCUGCAUACUUUUAAUCUUUGAACGUUAAAUUGCUGUUUUAACAUUUUUAAUAUUUUUAAUUCUGAUGAAUAAACUUCAUUAAAUGAA